AAGCAUGCAUUUCUAGUAUAGCAUUAUACCGUGAAACUGCGAAUGGCUCAUUAAAUCAGUUAUCGUUUAUUUGAUAGUACCUUACUACAUGGAUAACCGUGGUAAUUCUAGAGCUAAUACAUGCUAAAAACCCCAACUUCGGGAGGGGGUGUAUUUAUUAGAUAAAAAACCAACGCCCUUCGGGGCUUCUUGGUGAUUCAUAAUAACUUUACGGAUCGCAUGGCCUUGCGCCGGGCGACGGUUCAUUCAAAUUUCUGCCCUAUCAACUUUCGAUGGUAAGGUAUUGGCUUACCAUGGUUUCAACGGGUAACGGGGAAUUAGGGUUCGAUUCCGGAGAGGGAGCCUGAGAAACGGCUACCACAUCCAAGGAAGGCAGCAGGCGCGCAAAUUACCCAAUCCCGACACGGGGAGGUAGUGACAAUAAAUACUGAUACAGGGCUCUUUUGGGUCUUGUAAUUGGAAUGAGUACAAUUUAAACCUCUUAACGAGGAACAAUUGGAGGGCAAGUCUGGUGCCAGCAGCCGCGGUAAUUCCAGCUCCAAUAGCGUAUAUUAAAGUUGUUGCAGUUAAAAAGCUCGUAGUUGAAACUUGGGUCUGGCUGGCAGGUCCGCCUCACCGCGUGUACUUGUCCGGCCGGGCCUUCCUUCUGGAGAACCUCAUGCCCUUCACUGGGCGUGUUGGGGACCAGGACUUUUACUUUGAAAAAAUUAGAGUGUUCAAAGCAGGCCUUUGCUCGAAUACGUUAGCAUGGAAUAAUAGAAUAGGACGUGCGGUCCUAUUUUGUUGGUUUCUAGGACCGCCGUAAUGAUUAAUAGGGACAGUCGGGGGCAUCAGUAUUCAAUUGUCAGAGGUGAAAUUCUUGGAUUUAUUGAAGACUAACUACUGCGAAAGCAUUUGCCAAGGAUGUUUUCAUUAAUCAGUGAACGAAAGUUAGGGGAUCGAAGACGAUCAGAUACCGUCGUAGUCUUAACCGUAAACUAUGCCGACUAGGGAUCGGGCGAUGUUCUUUUUCUGACUCGCUCGGCACCUUACGAGAAAUCAAAGUUUU
rnacentral:rRNA from 1 species